UACGUAGGGUGCAAGCGUUUAAUCGGAAUUACUGGGCGUAAAGCGUGCGCAGGCGGCUUUGCAAGACAGAUGUGAAAUCCCCGGGCUCAACCUGGGAACUGCAUUUGUGACUGCAUGGCUAGAGUGCGGCAGAGGGGGAUGGAAUUCCGCGUGUAGCAGUGAAAUGCGUAGAUAUGCGGAGGAACACCGAUGGCGAAGGCAAUCCCCUGGGCCUGCACUGACGCUCAUGCACGAAAGCGUGGGGAGCAAACAGG
rnacentral:rRNA from 1 species